AUGGAUCCUUGCUUCCUUGAUUCUCAUGUAAUUGUGCUUACUGGUUCGUAUCAUUCCCUCCUUCCUCAAAAAGAUUUGUCCUCAAAUCUGCAACAUGGUCAAAAGGAGACAAGUCAGACACAUUAAAGGUAGCACUAACCCCAUACUCACCUGGCAAGUCUAUUUUAUAAGCAUUGUCAUUGAUUCGCUCUAAGACUUGAAAUGGACCAUCACCACGAGCAUCCAGCUUAUUCUUCCUCUGAUUUGGAAACCGUUCCUUUCGGAAGUGCA
rnacentral:lncRNA from 1 species